rnacentral:rRNA from 1 species
AUACAGAGGGUGCGAGCGUUAAUCGGAAUUACUGGGCGUAAAGCGCGCGUAGGCGGCUUGGUCAGUCGGAUGUGAAAGCCCCGGGCUCAACCUGGGAAUGGCAUUCGAUACUGCCAGGCUAGAGUAUGGGAGAGGGAAGUGGAAUUUCCGGUGCAGCGGUGAAAUGCGUAGAUAUCGGAAGGAACACCAGUGGCGAAGGCGACUUCCUGGCCCAAUACUGACGCUGAGGUGCGAAAGCGUGGGGAGCGAACAGGAUUAGAAACCCUAGUAGUCC